rnacentral:rRNA from 1 species
UACGAGGGGUGCAAGCGUUACUCGGAAUUACUGGGCGUAAAGGGUGCGUAGGUGGUUGUUUAAGUCUGCUGUGAAAGCCCCGGGCUCAACCUGGGAAUGGCAGUGGAUACUGGACAGCUAGAGUGCGGUAGAGGGUAGUGGAAUUCCCGGUGUAGCAGUGAAAUGCGUAGAGAUCGGGAGGAACACCAGUGGCGAAGGCGGCUACCUGGACCAGCACUGACACUGAAGCACGAAAGCGUGGGGAGCAAACAGG